rnacentral:rRNA from 1 species
CAGCCGCCGCGGGAAUACGUAGGUGGCAAGCGUUGUCCGGAAUUAUUGGGCGUAAAGGGCUCGCAGGCGGUUUCUUAAGUCUGAUGUGAAGCCCCCGGCUCAACCGGGGAGGGUCGUUGGAAACUGGGUAACUUGAGUGCAGAAGAGGAGAGUGGAAUUCCACGUGUAGCGGUGAAAUGCGUAGAGAUGUGGAGGAACACCAGUGGCGAAGGCGACUCUCUGGUCUGUAACUGACGCUGAGGAGCGAAAGCGUGGGGAGCGAACAGGAUUAGAUACCCGGGUAGUCCCUGUCUCUUAUACA